AAUACUGUUUUGGUGUAUGGCUUAUUGUUAGUUGGUUUGGGUCGGAAGAUGAAAACUACACCGAAAAAUGAUGAAUUCCGCCGGUGAUUGUGAUUGGUGAAGCAGUAGCAGGUAAAAUAGAAAUCAGCAAUAAAAAGCCCCAAUUCAAACCCACUAUUGACGAUAUCAAACCUCGUCUCCGUGAUCUGAGAGACCAUUUUUCACACUUGGAACCAGUGUAGGUGCUGAUGACACUCUUCAUAGAGCAAAUGUUGACAAAAAAAAAAAACUGAGGGACCAGAGUUGAAUUGUAUCCUUGAUGUUGUUCUUGAAAAUUUCAAGCCCAUUAAGAAGGGAGAUAAUAUCUCUUUAAAUCCAGAAGAAUCCCAGACUCAAGAUUCAAUAAAAAGCAGAAAAGCAUUUGGAGACAAUUUAAAUUUAGGUGUUUUAAUGAUGACAAGGGUUGCUAGGAAAACCACCUGCUCCAAAGGGUUUAGUGAUUCUGAGAGGUGAACCAAAGCCAAAGCAAACAAAACAUCAGAAACAAGAAACCACUGCCUCUUUAUAGUCACUGUAAGUAUCACAUCCGUAAAAAAACAAAUUUUGACAACAUGUAUGAAAUAUUGUAUUGCGAAAUGCAAGAAAUAGCAACUUACUUUCAUUUUCUUUCUAUUAUAGCAUUCUACUUUUACUUUUUUUUUCUUAUUAAGGCAUUGUAUUUUCAUUUUUUUCUUAGUACGACAUUGUACUUUGAAAAAUCGACCAAUUUAUAUCAGUGAAAAAUGCUUUGUAUUUGAGGUUAGAUUAUUUGAAGUAUGAUUGUGUAAUAGGCACAAAUGAAUGAAAGUGCCUUGUUGAUUCUUGCAUUAAGUAAUGUAAGCAGUUUUGUUUUGACAAACAGAUGUGGGUGGGAGUGAGUGGUGGGACAGUGGGUUUUAAAUUUAAAUGUGUGUGGGAGUGGGAGGGGAUGAGGUCUGCCACUUUGGGUGGAAUUGACUGGCAUUAAUCCAACAAUCAUUCCCUGAUUCUCAUUGUCAAACUCAAACCACUGAAAUUGGAUUCCACUCAGUUUAAUAGUGUUCUGAAUCCCUAAAAGCUACAUCCUUUUUUGGAUAAUCGUAUAACAUCAUAUGUAUAAACAAACAUCUUAAGAGUAGUUUGACUAACGGUUAAGACAUAACUUAUGUUUGGUAAUGAAAAAAUCGAACGUACGGAAUGGUUCAUUCCGAAUGAAAAAAUAAAUAAAUAAAUAAAUAAAUAAAAACUGUUUGUUUUGACCUAUAGAAUGGAAUAGAUAAUUCAGGCGGUGAUUGUAAUUUGUGAAGCAAUAGCAGGUAUAAGAGAAAUCAGCAAUAAAACCCCCCAAUUCAAGCAAACUAUUGAGGAUAUCGAACUUCG